rnacentral:rRNA from 1 species
GGGUCAGUAGGUUGGUCGUGCCACCGGUACGUACUGGUCUCACUGAUUCCUCCUUCCUGAAGAACCGUAAUGCCAUUAAUUUGGCGUUGCGGGGAAAUAGGACUGUUACUUUGAAAAAAUUAGAGUGUUUAAAGCAAGCUAACGCUUGAAUACAUUAGCAUGGAAUAAUGAAAUAGGACGAUCGAUCCUAUUUUGUUGGUUUCUAGGAUUGACGUA